rnacentral:rRNA from 1 species
AUGGACCAAAGAACAUUAUGCUUACAGUAUUACAUGCAUUAUUAUCACUACUACAUGUGGAGGAGAAGAUUGCUUGCUGCCAUUAUUGUGUGUUUAGGGAUGUACUGGUACAAGAUUAAUGUCCGAAAAAGGAAGAGAAAAUCUAUAACUUAUGCUCCCAUGUUCGAACGAGAUGUUAAAAGGAUGUCACGCCUGAACCGUAUGUAUUAUGGAACCGAGGCUAAUUGCAUAAGUGAGCUGCGCAUGCGGAAAUUUGUUUUUCACAAAUUGUGUGCCAACCUGAGACGUCGUGGUCUACUGGUAGACACAUUCCAUGUAAUUGUGGAGGAGCAAGUUGCCAUGUUCAUCCAUGUUGUGGGUCAUAACUGGAAAAAUAGAUCGAUUGGUUUCGAGUUUUAUCGAUCGGGCGAGACUGUUAGUAGGUACUUCAAUGCUGUUUUAGAUGCCCUGUGUCUCCUUGCUCGUGAUGUCAUAUGCAUCAAAACCAUCGAAACACAUUCGAAGAUAACAAGUAGCUCCAGAUUUCACCCUUACUUUGAGGUACAUCCAAAAUUAUUCACAAGUAUCUGCAAUGUAUUUAUAGGUUCCAUUCAGUCUGUUUGA